GCAAGUCUGGUGCCAGCAGCCGCGGUAAUUCCAGCUCCAAUAGCGUAUAUUAAAGUUGUUGCAGUUAAAAAGCUCGUAGUUGAAUUUCGGGAUCAAUAUUUCGGUCAUGCCGUUGGUAUGCACUGUUAUCAUUGAUUUCUCACCUUCUAAAGAACCAUAAUGCCAUUAAUUUGGUGUUACGGGGAAUUAGGACUGUUACCUUGAAAAAAUUAGAGUGUUUAAAGCAGGCUCACGCUUGAAUACAUUAGCAUGGAAUAAUGAAAUAGGACAUCCGAUUCUAUUUUGUUGGUCUCUAGGAUCGAUGUAAUGAUUAAUAGGGAUAGUUGGGGGCAUUAGUAUUCAAUUGUCAGAGGUGAAAUUCUUGGAUUUAUUGAAGACUAACUACUGCGAAAGCAUUUGCCAAGGAUGUUUUCAUUAAUCAAGAACGAAAGUUAGGGGAUCGAAGACGAUCAGAUACCGUCGUAGUCUUAACCAUAAACUAUGCCGACUAGGGAUCGGAUGAUGUUAAUUUUUUAAUGACUCAUUCGGCGCCUUACGGGAAAC
rnacentral:rRNA from 1 species